GGUUCAAAUUGCCACCUGUAAAUUAUAAAUGGAGGUCAUAAACCCUCCCUUUCAUCUCUCGUCUCUCUCACCUUAGGGUUUUACAGAAAUGGCGACUCGUUAUCUGACUCGUUCCUUAUUCACUGCUCUCUCUCGCCCAUACACUUCUCUUUCUCUCUCUACACCUCCUCCCUCUAUCUUUUCUUUCUCUCUCCUCCGUCUUCGACCACUUAUCGCCGUCGCCGCUGUCAACCUCCGCAGCGUCUCUCCGGCGGUAGCAACCUCCUUUCGAGGGUUUGCGACUCGGCAAACGUCGUCGUCGUUAAAUGACCCGAACCCGAACUGGUCCAAUCGUCCCCCGAAGGAGACGAUCCUACUUGAUGGAUGUGAUUUUGAGCACUGGCUUGUUGUGAUGGAGAAACCUGAGGGCGAUCCUACCAGAGAUGAAAUCAUCGAUAGCUACAUCAAAACUCUGGCUAAAGUUGUUGGAAGCGAGGAAGAAGCAAGAAUGAAGAUAUACUCUGUCUCGACAAGGCAUUACUAUGCAUUUGGAGCUCUUGUAUCCGAAGAACUUUCUUACAAGCUAAAAGAAGUGCCGAAGGUUAGCUGGGUGCUUCCUGAUUCCUACCUGGAUGUUAAGAAUAAAGAUUAUGGAGGGGAGCCUUUUAUCAAUGGGCAGGCUGUACCAUACGACCCAAAGUACCAUGAGGAGUGGGUAAGAAACAAUGCCCGAGCUAAUGAGAAGAACAGGCGCAAUGACCGACCUCGUAACUUUGAUAGGUCCAGAAAUUUUGAGAGAAGAAGAGAGAUGCAGAACACUGGACCCAACAUGGGUGGUGGACCUCCCAACAUGACGAAUGCGCCACCCCCAAACAUGGGUGGGAUGCAGCAGCCUAACAUGGGCGGGAGGCAUCAGCCUAGCAUGGGAGGACCACAGCAGCCCAACAUGGGAGGUGCACCUCAUAACUAUGGUGGAGCGCCUCCCAAUAACUAUGGUGGGUCGCCUCCCAAUAACUACGGUGGAGCACCUCCCAAUUACUAUGGUGGAGCGCCAAACAAUCCAACCAAUUUUCAAUACAAUGGUGGACCAACCAACGGAGGCAUGCCUUACCAAACAAGUCCAGGGCCAAAUCAGAAUUAUGCUUCAAAUACAUCUGGUGGAAACCCUUAUCAGAAUCAAAGCAUGCCUGGAAGAGAUGUGCCCCCUCCAAAUCAGAACUAUGCUCCGAAUACGGCUGACAGAACCCCUUAUCAGAACCAAAACAUGCCUGGAAGAGAUAUGCCCCCUCAAAAUUAUCAAUAGGCCAUUGUAUAUGAGUAUGAACUUUGUAUUUCCAGAAUUCUAUUUCACGAAAUGAGAACAUAUUUAUGGCGUGCUUGAUAGGAUGUUGCUGCCCGACUGCCCGUAAUAGUUGAAUGUGCAAAACUUAUAUGCUUUGGCCUCAUUGCAGGUACCAUUCGCAUUUUUGGAAGACUUGCCCACUAUUAUGGCUACAGAUGUUUUCAAAAUGACAAUGCAGAUCUAUUUUGCUAGAAAGCCUUGUGUACUCAUGCUUAUCCUUGUAUCCAUUUAAGCCUGAACAGAUUAUGCAUGAUAUUCAACUACUUCGAGCAUAAUAUACAACAGUGCUAGAAAUGCAGAGAUCGUAUACCUUGAAGGCAAUUCAUUGGUGUGUCGUGUGGAUGUCAAACUGCAUCCAAGGGAUUCUGUCUUUCAAGUUUUGCCCAGUGUUGUCAAAUGUCCCAUAUAUGCUCCCAUUUUUGUGAUGCUUGCCACUUCUUUUUUGUGUAUUGAAUUUAGAAACCUGUUCUAUUGCGUGCAAAAAGAUACUCGGCUAACAGUUUGUAGUAGCUGUUAUCUUUCUCCUA